rnacentral:rRNA from 1 species
UACGAAGGGGGCUAGCGUUGCUCGGAAUCACUGGGCGUAAAGGGUGCGUAGGCGGGUCUUUAAGUCAGGGGUGAAAUCCUGGAGCUCAACUCCAGAACUGCCUUUGAUACUGAAGAUCUUGAGUUCGGGAGAGGUGAGUGGAACUGCGAGUGUAGAGGUGAAAUUCGUAGAUAUUCGCAAGAACACCGAUGGCGAAGGCAGCCCCCUGGGCCAACACUGACGCUCAGGCACGAAAGCGUGGGGAGCAAACAGG